CAGGAUGGUGUCUUUUCGAG
rnacentral:siRNA from 1 species